AUUGAACGCUGGCGGCAGGCCUAACACAUGCAAGUCGAACGAGUGGCGGACGGGUGAGUAAUGUCUGGGAAACUGCCUGAUGGAGGGGGAUAACUACUGGAAACGGUAGCUAAUACCGCAUACCAUCAGAUGUGCCCAGAUGGGAUUAGCUAGUUGGUGGGGUAACGGCUCACCUAGGCGACGAUCCCUAGCUGGUCUGAGAGGAUGACCAGCCACACCGGAACUGAGACACGGUCCAGACUCCUACGUGAGGGAGCAGUGGGGAAUAUUGCACAAUGGGGGCAAGCCUGAUGCAGCCAUGCCGCGUGUAUGAAGAAGGCCUUAGGGUUGUAAAGUACUUUCAGCGGGGAGGCGUUACCCGCAGAAGAAGCACCGGCUAACUCCGUGCCAGCCGCCGCGGUAAUAC
rnacentral:rRNA from 1 species